AUCACAGCCAUAUCACCCUGCAGCCCAAGACUGGUUGCCCACUGAAGCUAAGCAGGGUUGAGUCUGGUCAGUACCUGGAUGGGAGACCUCCUGGGAAAACUAGGUUGCUGCUGGAA
rnacentral:rRNA from 1 species